rnacentral:rRNA from 1 species
CCCUUAGAUGUUCUGGGCUGCACACGUGCUACACUGGCAGGUUCAGCGAGCUUCAUGCCCUGAUCUGAAAGGAAUGGGAAAUCUUUUCAAAACCUGCCGUGCUUGGGAUAGAUGUUUGCAAUUAUUCAUCUUCAACGAGGAUUGCCUUGUAAGCGCACGUCAUCAGCGUGCAUUGAAUACGACCCUGUAUUCUGUACACACCGCCCGUCGCUCCUACCGAUUGAAGUUUUCGGUGAGUUGACAGGAGGAUUUUUUUGAAACUGGUUCGCCAGUGGAUUUAGAUCCAAAUGCCAACGAAUCGAUGGCUUUAGAGGAAGGAGAAGUCGUAACA